UACGAAGGGGGCUAGCGUUGCUCGGAAUCACUGGGCGUAAAGGGUGCGUAGGCGGGGCUUUAAGUCAGGGGUGAAAUCCUGGAGCUCAACUCCAGAACUGCCUUUGAUACUGAGGAUCUUGAGUUCGGGAGAGGUGAGUGGAACUGCGAGUGUAGAGGUGAAAUUCGUAGAUAUUCGCAAGAACACCAGUGGCGAAGGCGGCUCACUGGCCCGAUACUGAUGCUGAGGCACGAAAGCGUGGGGAGCAAACAGG
rnacentral:rRNA from 1 species